UGGUACCUGAAAAAAAAGAGACAUUGCACAUACUUUUGUAAACCAAGAAAAUCUUUAAUAAAAAUACAUUUAAAAAAGCUUACUAGUCCUCAUGGUGGCUUAGAAUGUGUGUGUGUGUGUGUGUGUGUGUGUGUGUAUUCUGUGUGUAUUUGCAGGGAAACCAA